GAGCAGAGCAGAACGGAGCAGAGCAGAUUAGAUUCCUGUGUUCACUUUGUUCUCCUGCCUCAAUCUCUUCUGCGGUCACUGCCAAGUCUCAGUUAUUUUGGUCCAGGCUUCCCAUGUAGGCACCACGCCAUGCUCCCUGCGGUUCCACAGAAAACUAUGGAGACAGUGAUCAGUGGAACCUGUCAGGUUUAUUCAAGGGCAGCUCAGAAGGAAGACUCCAGUCAUGGAUUGCUACCUUUGGAAGGCUCAGCAGCCCCGAAGCAGUAAACGCGGGUGACAUUUUUGCCAUCUCGACAGUCGCAGCUGCCUGCUGAUGCCACUGAAAGAGAGGUGGCUGAAGAAAAUCGCUUUUUCCCAGGAUGCCGGUAAUCUCAAAAGCAGAAGUCUAUAAACAGGAAACCACCGACAGACAGUGAGUGAGCGUCUUCCGUGAAUGAGGAACAAGUCCCACGUGGAGUAGAUCAAGUGUGGAGUUAGAUCCAGGUGAAAACCCCAGCACUUACAGCUCUGAUCCUGAGCUGUCACAAUGAUAUGCUGUAAGUUUAUAUGUCACACACGAUAAUAAAUAGAUUAUGG